GAUGAACGCUGGCGGCGUGCCUAAUACAUGCAGGUCGAGCGGUAACACUUCGGGUGACGAGCGGCGGACGGCAGAGUAACGCGUAGGAACAUACCCCAAACUGAGGGAUAACUCCGAGAAAUCGGGGCUAAUACCGCAUGUGAUCUUCGGAUUAAAGCUUCGGCGGUUUGGGAAUGGCCUGCGUAUGAUUAGUUAGUUGGUGAGGUAAAAGCUCACCAAGACGACAAUCAUUAGCUGGUCUGAGAGGAUGAUCAGCCUGACUGGAACUGAGACACGGUCCAGGCUCCUACGGGAGGCAGCAGUGGGGAAUAUUGGACAAUGGGCGAAAGCCUGAUCCAGCCAUGCCGCGUGUGUGAAGAAGGUCUUCGGAUUGUAAAGCACUUUAAGUUGGGAGGAAGGGCAGUAAGUUAAUACCUUGCUGUUUUGACGUUACCAACAGAAUAAGCACCGGCUAACUUCGUGCCAGCCGCCGCAGUAA
rnacentral:rRNA from 1 species